rnacentral:rRNA from 1 species
GUGAGGAAUAUUGGUCAAUGGGCGGGAGCCUGAACCAGCCAAGUCGCGUGAAGGAAGAAGGAUCUAUGGUUCGUAAACUUCUUUUUCAGGGGAAUAAAGUGCAGGACGUGUCCUGUUUUGUAUGUACCCUGAGAAUAAGGAUCGGCUAACUCCGUGCCAGCAGCCGCGGUAAUACGGAGGAUCCGAGCGUUAUCCGGAUUUAUUGGGUUUAAAGGGUGCGUAGGUGGUUUGAUAAGUCAGCGGUGAAAGUUUGCAGCUUAACUGUAAAAAUGCCGUUGAAACUGUCGGACUUGAGUGUAAAUGAGGUAGGCGGAAUGCGUGGUGUAGCGGUGAAAUGCAUAGAUAUCACGCAGAACUCCGAUUGCGAAGGCAGCUUACUAAGCUACAACUGACACUGAAGCACGAAAGCGUGGGGAUCAAACAGGAUUAGAUACCCGGGUAGUCC